AUUGAACGCUGGCGGCAUGCCUUACACAUGCAAGUCGAACGGCAGCACGGGAGCUUGCUCCUGGUGGCGAGUGGCGAACGGGUGAGUAAUAUAUCGGAACGUACCCUAGAGUGGGGGAUAACGCAGCGAAAGUUGCGCUAAUACCGCAUACGAUCUACGGAUGAAAGUGGGGGAUCGCAAGACCUCAUGCUCAUGGAGCGGCCGAUAUCUGAUUAGCUAGUUGGUGGGGUAAAGGCCUACCAAGGCUUCGAUCAGUAGCUGGUCUGAGAGGACGACCAGCCACACUGGAACUGAGACACGGUCCAGACUCCUACGGGAGGCAGCAGUGGGGAAUUUUGGACAAUGGGCGAAAGCCUGAUCCAGCAAUGCCGCGUGAGUGAAGAAGGCCUUCGGUUGUAAGGUACUCUUUUGUUCUAGGGAAGAAACGGUAGGACGUCUAAUACAGAUCACUAAUAGACGGUACC
rnacentral:rRNA from 1 species